GUAGGGAAUCUUGCGCAAUGGGCGAAAGCCUGACGCAGCCAUGCCGCGUGAAUGAUGAAGGUCUUAGGAUUGUAAAAUUCUUUCACCGGGGACGAUAAUGACGGUACCCGGAGAAGAAGCCCCGGCUAACUUCGUGCCAGCAGCCGCGGUAAUACGAAGGGGGCUAGCGUUGCUCGGAAUUACUGGGCGUAAAGGGAGCGUAGGCGGAUAGUUUAGUCAGAGGUGAAAGCCCAGGGCUCAACCUUGGAAUUGCCUUUGAUACUGGCUAUCUUGAGUAUGGAAGAGGUAUGUGGAACUCCGAGUGUAGAGGUGAAAUUCGUAGAUAUUCGGAAGAACACCAGUGGCGAAGGCGACAUACUGGUCCAUUACUGACGCUGAGGCUCGAAAGCGUGGGGAGCAAACAGGAUUAGAAACCCUGGUAGUCC
rnacentral:rRNA from 1 species